UACGGAGGGGGCUAGCGUUGUCCGGAAUUACUGGGCGUAAAGCGCACGUAGGCGGCUUUGUAAGUUAGAGGUGAAAGCCCGGGGCUCAACUCCGGAAUUGCCUUUAAAACUGCAUCGCUAGAAUUGUGGAGAGGUAAGUGGAAUUCCGAGUGUAGAGGUGAAAUUCGUAGAUAUUCGGAAGAACACCAGUGGCGAAGGCGACUUACUGGACACAUAUUGACGCUGAGGUGCGAAAGCGUGGGGAGCAAACAGG
rnacentral:rRNA from 1 species